AUAUAUCAAUCUCUUCAGCUUUUGCUUGUUGAGUAUUGGAUGUGGGGGCUUUUUUGCUGGUCUUUAAAAGAGGUCAGCUCCCCUGAAAUGUAUUAGCGGAACAAUUUGUUGACCGUUCAUUGGUGUGAUAAUUAUCUACGCUAUUGACGUGAGGCAGUUCAGCUUCUAAUAGUCCAUUGACUUGGACAGUUUUUCAUUA
rnacentral:misc_RNA from 1 species